CGAGCUCAGAGCUCCGCGCUGGGUCCGCCGGAAGGUGCUCCGCCAGGGAGGUCCGGGCAGCCCGCGGUGCGGCGAGAAAUGCGUCCCCGGGAAACCGCGCCCGGCGGCGGAGGGGCGAGGAGCUCGGAGCUUAAGUCCUCGCCUCGGCCCCGCGCGCGGAACCUCGUAGAAACCUUCGAAGGAUCGAAAUCGCCGUUUUAUCGCGGAAGGCAAACACUGCGCGAACUUCCUGCCCCCCAUAGUGCGACGCUCGGCUGCCCAGACCCACAGAAUUCUUCGUUUUAAACCCAAGACGUGCGAGUCACCUGCUUAGAAAAUAUGAUCACAAACUUACCUCCUGCUUGUUCCCCUAAACACUCUCUUCUCUUUCCUAAAGAAACCGAUUGGUCUUCUCUUUCCCCUCCCUCCCUUUCUCCUAUUACCUUAGGUACAGAAACCCCUACAUCUGAUUACUGCGUGCACGUCUUCUGUACCCGCCAGAGGGUGUGAAUACACUUUGCUUUCUUCCUGUUCA